rnacentral:rRNA from 1 species
UUAAUAAAAAUUGGUUAAUUUAUAAUUAAAACAUUGUAUUUUUAGUAUUUUUUAGAAAAUAUUAUAAGUUUAGUACUGUAAAGGAUUUAAUAAAUUUUUUUAUAGAUGUAGUUAAAUUAUGUACCUUGUGUAUUAGGGAGUUUUAAUAUAAAAAAUAUGAUUAUUUUUCUCGAAUUAUUUGUGGGCUAAAAUUUUAUAUACAUUAAUGUAGCAUAAUUAAAGUAAAUUUAAUUUUAGUGAUGAUAUAUUAUUCAAACAAUAGGAUAUCUGGUUUCUUAAGAAAAAAAUUUAAUUUUAUUUUAAUAAAUUUUUUGUUAAAUAUAAACUCAAAUAGGGAUGAGCUUAUUUGAGUAUGUCAUAUACUGAACUAUUUUAUAAAGUUAUUUAGAUUUAGAAUUGAUCUUUUUUAUAAUAUGUUAUAAUAAAGCUAUUAAAAUUAAGAAUUUUAUUUUUAGAGUUAUUUUAUUUAUUAAGAUAUAGAUUUAAAUUAAACAGUAUUAAUAAUAAUGAGAUUAUUAGUAAUUUAUUAUUUAAAAAUUUGUUUAUUGUUUAUUUAACUUUAAGGAAUUAGGCAAAAUAAAUUUUCGCCUGUUUAGCAAAAACAUGGUUUCUUGAUUUUUGAUAAGAAAUCAGGCCUGCCCACUGAUAUUAAAGGGCUGCAGUAUUUUGACUGUACAAAGGUAGCAUAAUCAUUAGUCUUUUAAUUGGAGACUGGUAUGAAUGGUUAGACGGAAAUUAACUGUCUCAAAGUUAUAAAUUGAAUUUUACUUUUAGGGGAAAGGACCUAAAUAAAAUAAUGGGACGAGAAGACCCUGUUAAGCUUUAUUAAUUAUUAUUUAUAAUUUCAUUAAUAUAAGAAAUGUAUAUAUAAAUUAAGUUUACUGGGGCGGUAAAUAAUAAACAAUAUUUAUUUUUAAUAUAAUUGUUAGCAUAAUUAUGAUCCGAAUUGAUCGAUAAUAAGAGCAAGCUACUACAGGGAUAACAGCGUAAUAUUUUUUGAGAGUUCAUAUUGACAAAAGUGUUUGCGACCUCGAUGUUGGAAUAAGAAAUCUUAUUGGUGCAGUAGUUAUUAAAGAAGGUCUGUUCGACCUUUAAAUUCUUACAUGAUCUGAGUUCAGACCGGCGUGAGCCAGGUCGGUUUCUAUCUUUUAUAAUUAAUAAAUUGGGUUAGUACGAAAGGACCAUUCAAUAUAAAAUUUUUAGUUAUGAGAGUUAUUUAAAAUUUAAGUUAAGA